rnacentral:rRNA from 1 species
UACGAAGGGUGCAAGCGUUAAUCGGAAUUACUGGGCGUAAAGCGUGCGUAGGCGGUGGUUUAAGUCUGCUGUGAAAGCCCUGGGCUCAACCUGGGAAUUGCAGUGGAUACUGGAUCACUAGAGUGUGGUAGAGGGAUGCGGAAUUUCUGGUGUAGCAGUGAAAUGCGUAGAGAUCAGAAGGAACAUCCGUGGCGAAGGCGGCAUCCUGGGCCAACACUGACACUGAGGCACGAAAGCGUGGGGAGCAAACAGG